UGAAACCUGAAGGUUCCAUAGCAGUUAGGCAGGAUCCUAGGAGCUGCAUGGUUUUUUUUUAACCUAGAAAAAUGGUUCUUACAGCUGAAUAAAACUUUCAGUAAACACUGUCUACUAAAGCAAGUUAAGUAACCCAGUAACAACCCAAGACAGCAAAAACCUGAAGCAGUGUGGCAGGAGAGAACACAGAAAGGCUGAGGAAAUAUUACUAGAGACUGAAAUAAGUUUUUCAAAGGCUAACCUUCUUCAGUAUCAGUGUGCAUAAGCAGGUUAUCGGCAAAAUAUGUAAUCCAGGUCUAACUUUCUACCUGAGAGUCUACGUUUUGUUGGACCAUUUGAAAAGAAACACUCAUAUUGCUCUUAUGUCCUUCUUCAGCAGCCUGAAGGAACCAACAGAGCUCUUUCUGAUUCCAUGACAAGCAACAGAAUUUGAAGGCUGAUAUAAUCCUCUAAACAGGAAAGCUACAAGAGAGGAUGACUAGGAUUCCAGGUGAGGAUGCUCAGAGAAAAAUUACGAGCCAAGAGGCAGCUCUCAGAUGAAGGAAAAAGAGGGGUCAUGAAUGUGGUAAAAGGGAAUCAUUUUCUGGUUACGGAGAUACACAGCCAGACAGCCAGGCAUUGUUCUAGUUUGUUUUUGGGACCAAGGAUGGAAAUCCAAGAAGUUGAAAGCCAGAAUGAAGCAUGAAUGUGAGGAACAAUAACCAAGCUGGGAAGAGGAGAGGCCUGAGCAAGGAGAAACAGAAGACUAACAGUGAAAUAUCAUUAUUCCAGUUGUUCCCAACAGAUAUAAAUAAAAAGUGAAGAAAAUGCACCAUUA